GUCUCCCCGCCCCACGCCCCUCAGACCCCCGGAUUCUGCGAGCCAAAAGUCGGCCUCGGGGUCUUAGGGGCGCGGAAGCCCUCGACUAGGAGGGUCCUGCCGGAUCUCCGAGGGGUCUGGAGGAGGCCCCCCCCCCGUGCUGGGGAAGAUGGUGCGUCCCGCUCGGUCGCGGUCACGUGGGCGCCUCCUCUGUGACGUCGGCCGCUUCAAUGUAGCAAAGCUCGGCCUCUGGAAUUCUGAGAACUAAUUUGCUAUUCAGUGACAUAAGAGGGGGGAGCGUGCGCCGCCUGCCCGGGGUCUGGGGCUCCUUCACUGUCUCGCGCCCAUAAACACCACCACCACCUCCACGAGCUCAGGGCACCAAAUGGGGGGCAGGGGCUCUGAGCCCCCGGAGGAAGCCCGCCUGCCCAGAUGUAGGUUAGGCAGCUCGAGCCAAACAAUAAACACGCAUCCAGGGCACGGGGAGAGAGGACACAGCAGAGAGGGAGAGCUUUCCAGCUAGACUCUCAGCACAUUGGCCAAGCCGUGUUUGGAAUGGAAAAGAGCCCUGUGGUCUCUGAAGUAAACACUCCUGUUUCAAACAGCCAUAGGAACACAGAUUCUGUUGACAAAGGUGAUCUGCACCCCUCUCCUCACCAUCUCCCCCCACUCCCACCCCCAAGCCCUUGCAAGGCCUGAAUGCAGACAUUGGCCAUUCUGUUCUGUGGCAAUUCCUUCCAGAAUUUCCUCCAGUUUCUCCCUGCUACAAACCAGAGAGGAAGUAUCAUUAGUAGCAGACCAGGGCAGCCCCUGACACCUCAGGAGUGCCUAUGCAGUAACACUUGAGGAGGGGCUAGAGGUAAGACAGAAAGUACUUUUCAACAGUACUUAGGCCUCAGUGGGUCGGGGUCACCUGCUCAGAUUGGGAGGGGGAUGGAAUGUGGGCUCCAGUGUCAUGAAUUAAUAGUUGCUGAGCACUGCCACUCAAAAUAGAACAGCAGAAAGCAGUUCCUCUGUGGGGGGGAGGGGAGGGUAAAGGAGGGAGGAGGGUUCUAUUGGGUCCUGCUCACAGCUGCCGGGUAAAUAUAAACUUUAAUAGAAAUGCCAAUGGGCUACUCCUAAUAUUACAUCUAUUUAAAGAAAAGGACAGAUUUUCACAGUCAGUUUCUUCCAGCUCAGUUACUGAAGAUAAAGUCGCUUUUAUAAAGGAAACCCACCCUUGUCUCAACCAUGCAGUCCCCCCACCUCCAACUCUUCACCAAAACAAAUAGAAGUGGGAACUCCUGGCCAAUAGAUGCACAGUUCCCUGAUAACACUGCCACUUCAGACUUGCUUUCCUCCUGCCUGCCCUAAGGAUUUACCACUACUCAAGCCAUGUCUUUUCAUCUCUCUCCCUCCCCUGUCAUGCUGAAUAGCACUCUAUAGCAUUAAAGUAGGGCUUUAUGCAACAGUAUAAUUUUCAAGGAAGAAGACCCUUAUUCUUAAAGGAGGAGUAAAUAAAUCUGCCAGUGGGUCAUCUGGG